UUUUUUUUUUUUUUUUGCUCCAUCCUAUUCAUGCAAUAUAGAUGUGAUGAACAGAGUUUACCAGUCCUUCUGGACCAGAAGAAUGGGACCACACUUUAGGGAUGACAGAACAGGCAGCUGAAGGAGGCCUAUGUCCCUGAGUGAAUAAUUUCUACAAUUCCAGUUCUGGAUUGUCUACUCUGAAUUAUUUCUAGGUGAAAAAAUAAUAAAUGUUUACCUUCUUUAAGUCUCUAUAUUCACUAGCCAUUUCUUUUAAAUCUCUGUGCAUACAAACCAACCUAAUAUUAAAAGAUAAAUGAAGCUUUGUACAACAACCAGACAUUUUAGCAGAAUGCAGAAUUAGAGCCCUUAAUAAACUUAAUAAUUCACUAUAGUUAGUUGAAUAUCAAGUGUUAAAGUGUUAGUGAUCCCUAAGAAUUUACUUAGAAGGUUAGCAUCCUCAUCAAAUCUCCCAUACAGAUAUAGAAUUGGGUAUACUGGUCUAAACUAAGGUGUAUUUCUUUUUCUUGAAAGGGAAGACUUAGUAACAGUGAAAAAAAUCACAGAAGGAGCAUUUCUGGAAUUCAAAGAGCCCAGGCAUUGCUACAAAACAGUUCCUUCUUAGUUUUCAAUGUUCUUGCUGGCAAAAGAUAUUACUGAUACCUUUCUUUUCAGCCCAAAUCUUUAUCUUUGAUGAAAAUGUUACAGUUGAUACACUUCUAUUAAAAAUAGCAAUUUCGGGGAUUCCUGGGUGGCUCAGUAGGUUUAGCGCCUGCCUUUGGCCCAGGGCGCGAUCCUGGAGUCCCGGGAUGGAGUCCCGCGUUGGGCUCCCGGCAUGGAGCCUGCUUCUCCCUCUGCCUGUCUCUCUCUCUCUCUCUCUCUCUCUCUCUCAUAAAUAAAUAAAUAAAUAAAUAAAUAAAUAAAUAAAUAAAUAAAUCUUUUUUAAAAAACAAUAGCAAUUUCAAUUUUACAAAACACCUAACCGGUACUCUUGAAAACUUCCAAUAUCAUGAAAAACAAUGAAGGAUUGAGAAACUGGCAUGGGCCAGAGCAGUUGAUAAGGGUAGUGUGGAUCCUGGAUUGGAUCCUGGAAAAGAAAAGCACUGUGGUGACAUCCAACUCAAGUCUGGAGUUUGAUAGUGAUAUGCUCAUACUGGAGUUUUCAUUGUGACAAAGUAGACUAACAGAAGAUGUGAACAAAAGGGGAAAGUGGAUGAGGGUAUGCAUACAGGAACUCUGUUUUAUCAUUACUUUUUUGUGCAUCUAAAAUCAUUAUAAAGGUUAAAAAUUUACUAUAAAAAGGGCACUAUAUUGUCAAUAGUCUGGUAGAUUGGUUGUGAUAAUAGGUAUAAAAUCAUGGACUUGUAGAAGGGAUCCAAAAAGUAGUAAUAUCCUUCCUUCCAUACAAACCCUUAAAAUCCCAUCAACUCUUUAAUUAUUAGACAAAUUUUUUGACAUACACUUUUUCUGACUUGGCAUACCUGAAAAAAUUAUUCUCUUAUCAUAAACUUACAUAACUUUGAAGAUGGUUAUGUUUUUCUAUCCUUUCCUUCAUCACCAAUUACCUAUUUGUCAUUGGCUUUUCCUCUUAUACUUCUUCCUUCCUUGAAGUCUUUUUUUCUUUGUGGUCUUUCUAAGUUUUACACAUAUGACUGAACUUAGGAUCCAAAUCAUACUAAGGGGCAUAUGUCCUCCUUCCUCAUGGUUCUCCCUUCUCCUCUCCCUUCCCAGGUUCUACACAGAGUAGGUUCUCAGUAUGUUUCUGUUAAAUUGACUUAAAUUAAUAAACAAGGAGUAUAGUGAAGGGACCAUUUCAUGAUUCCUGAGUGAUUUAUUACCUUUGCAAAGAUUCCAGCAUGAUGUCAGAUUUAAUUACAACACUAAACUUUUAGCUCUCUCAUAUUUAUUUCAAAGCACCAAGUUAGACAGAUUUUCCAGUACAUAAUGAGCUACUCUGUGAAUAUCAGAUGCCUCUGGGAACUCCAUGAACUCUUUCAAACAACCAGGAUAAAAACAGUGAAGGAAAUCCUCUUUAAGUAAAAUAAAAUCAUACCUAAUUUUGACCAAAAUUCCCAAAAUUGCCAAGAUUCCACUUAUUUACAAAGAGCAUUUGGAAAAUCAACAAACCAAUUUCUAUUUUUUUUUAAAUUCUAAGUCCUUUUUUGCUGAUUUAGCCUAUUUUAGUGUCUGGUUAUUUAUUUCUUAUACAAUACUUUUUUAUUACAGUGUAUUUUUAGUUUGUUGCAUCAACUAUUUUCUAUAUUACUUUACUUUUUCUGGUUCGAUAACAACAUUUUGAAGUUUGUUUUGGUAAAUUAUAAUAAAACGGACUACACAAAGAAGUCGGCUAGGAAGAAAGACAUGUCAACAAGACAAUGUCCAAUGGUACUACCAAGAAGCAGAACUUAAUGAGGAGGACAAGAAGAGAACCAAAUAUGAUAAGAAGAAAUAGUUUAGUGUGAUCUUCCAGUACAGCAAAGUGAAAUUUGAUUUAAAAGUUAAAUAUUCACAUUAGCCAAUCCUUCAAAUUGGGACCUGGCUUUGGAAUAGAAAUGUGGCCAGAAACACUGUUCUGGACAGCUCAGGUCUUCUCAGGCAUUAGUCAGGGCCCUGGAAGCAGAUGCUACUGAUGCUCUAUCCUUAUUCCCUUGGAUCCCUUGAUGAUUCUGGUGUAUUUUCAUUCCUAGCAGCCUGUACUCAUGCCUUUAUUGUAGGAUGACCCUCAGGCUACUGUAACCCACUUUGCUUAAAUCAGUGCUUCUCAAAGUAUGAUCUGCAAAUCAGAGCAUCAGCAUCACCUGCAAACUUGUUGGAACUGCAAGUUCUUAAGCCCAGCUGAAGAUGCACUGAAUCAGCAACUCUGGGGAUAUGGCUCCACAAUCUGUAUUUUAAUAAGCCCUCCAGGGGAUUCUGACACAUGUGUCAGUUCCACUGACCUAUUCAUAUAUAUUGAAAGCCAAGUGACUAGGAUUUUAUAUUUUGAGGGAGAAGCAAUCUAUAGCCAAUGUUGAUAGAUGUGAGUGUAUCCAACACACCAGAUACCCCACCCCUGGUAAGGACAAAUCAGAGGCAGGACCCAAACUGUCUCUAGAGCUCUCCUGUAGAAUGGAGAGAAAAUUACUCUCUGUGAGACUCUCUUGAUAGCACUCCCAUAUUUGGCCUCCUUCUCUUUACUUCCCUGCCUCACUGCCCUACUCCUUUACUAGUUUUUUUUUUUCUAGGACUAGUUCCUAAUAAAUCAUUUUCACAUGAUCCUUCAGCUCAGAGUCUGAUUCUAGGGAACUAUACAAAAAUAUAUCCUAUAGUGAAAAGAAAAAAUUCAACUUCAUUGUCAUAGCCCGGAACUCCGGCAUGACAUUAUCGAUUGUAACUAGACUCCAGGCACUAUGCUAGGGGCUGGGGAUAACAAGAUGAAUGGGGUUCUUUCUGUCCUCAGAGAACUUAGGUGUAGCGACAGUAGUGGUGGGUAGCAGACACAUGAAUGGAUAUUGUCAAUAGUUCAAUACUGAAAUUCUCAUCUGUGCUAGGAAAACACUUUCCCCCAAAAUUCCUGAAAGAGGCAAUAGGCCAAGCUAGCUGCUGAGUGUGGAUGAGGAUUUGUGAGUCAGGAUAUGGAAUGUGAACAAAAUAUUCCAGCCCAAACCAUGGACUGAGACAUGAACCCGAGCAAGAGAGAAAAAAAGUACAUGAUUUGGUGGUCGUGUGGUGUCGAGUUCAGAUUGGAAAGGGGCAGGUGAUGAAGCUGAAAAAAAAAAAAAAAGGAAAAAGUACUGAAGCACAGGAAGACUUCCAGGCCUUGCGAAGUAGCAGGCCUUUUGCUGUAGAUGAUGGGGUGUCUGCUGAUAGCUUUUAAGCAUGAGAGCAACUUGUUCAGAAGUGCAUAGAGGAAAAAAAAAAAAAAAAAGAAGAAGAAGUGCAUAGAGAGAUCCUUCUGGCUGAAUAAGAGGGCCUAUUCCAACAUCAGGGAGACCAAGUCAAAGACUGUAGGGAAUAGUCCAAGUGAGACCUACCAGGGGCCUGAGCUGGAGGAGGAUAUGUAACCCAGGAAAUAUUUAGGGGGUGAAAUUGGCAAGAUUUUGACUAUAUAAAUGUUGUACUGAAUGACGGGGAGGAGCUAGGCAAGGACAAAUCCAGGUUUCUGCCUUAAAUGAUGCAAUUAGCUUAGAGUCAUAAUCAUUUCCAUUUUGUCAGUUCAGAGUGAGGACUAAAACAGUCAUGCUGAGAACUGCUCCCCUACCUUGGGAAAGCUAGAUAACGACUAAAAUUCUAAAUCAACACAGUUGAUGGAAAACUUCAUCAGCGCAGACAGACGCAAGGCAGCUCUGAUUAGCACAGAUACAGAAUUGCCUCAUCAACAAAAACACUAGGCACAAUUAAUACACAAGCCCUUUCAGUUAAAUGCAAUUUAGGCAUGAUUACUUAAAUGGAAAGUUUAUGAAAUUAUCCAGUAUUUCUUAAGUAAUUAAUAAAAUUUGAAGUCUGGAGAGAAUUAGACAUAGAUCCAUGCAAAAGUUUCCUAAAGAAUAAACAAAAUGCAGAUGCAUGUGUGAGUGUUGGUGUGCAGGGAGCAAAAACACAAUUAAUGUUUGCUAUCAGCAAGGCAACCUGCAAAAUGAAUUCCACAAAUUACUACUUGGACAGAAGCACACACAACACCUAAUUUUGGUACAUAAAUAUUACCAUUAGAUGUCUCCGUUCUCUCAAAGCCAGAGCUUUCUGCCUGCAAGAAGGGAGGAGUUUGCAGAACUGACAUGGAAGAGGUUUUUACUGAUGCCAUUGUACCCAGGAGGGCCUACAGUGUAACCCAACCUGGCUGCAUCCUCUUGCACGUGGUACAUUGGGAGCAAUAGUGACAGAAUGGCAAAGCCAGUGCAAGAACUCAGCUCCCGUUCUAAGUGUCCAGUCUCUUAGGAAGGCCCCCUGGGUAAUAGAGAUGCACGGAUUCACAUCUCUCCUUCUUGUUGGCACCCAUUGACUUCAACUCCUUGGUAUGCAAAAUGAAAGAAAUAGCAAUAGGAAAGAUUGGUUUCAGGCUUUACUAGAAAUAAUGGAGAUGCCAGUUGGCCUCAUCAUCCCACCAUCAAUCUGAGAAAAACUUCUUUUAAAGAAGUGCUCUGGGUCGGUGAAAGCAAGAGACAGUGAUGGGAAUCAAAUGCUAUCCCUACCACCAAAGUAGCUGCAUUCUUUCUCAGAAAUUUAAAGAUUCCAAUCUCAGACUGACUAAAGCAAAGGCAUCUGUCUGUCUUAGAACAUAAGCAGAAAUCAGUCAGUAUGGACACUGCCAUAGCUACAGGAGAGUCGAGAAGCUACAUGGCACAGAGACUUCAGUGGAGGGGCUGGGGCUGUCAGGAUAGAGAGGGAGUUGGAGAAAGUUAAAGAGUGAGAGGUGGCCCUUUAAGGGGACAGAGCGGUAGAAACUAUUUAUUACUCAGUACUAAUGCAUUCAAUAUUUCAAUGACGGAUGUGCUGGUACCACGUGGAUCAGAUGAAUAUCAGUCCUAGCAAACAAGAACAUUUUUCUUGUAUUAAACUCUCUAAAUCCCAAAAUGUGGAGCAUAGGUAGGGCAUGGCAGAGAACUUAAGGACAGUAAUUAAUUAAAUUGACUAUAAUGAUCAAGGGGAAAAAAGAUAAGGCAGGCUAGCUUUAAUGGCUAGAAGAAAUGACUUAAAUUAUCUAACUCAAGAGAAAGAAAAAGAAGGGAUUUAGCUAGAAGAUCUGAAAUUCAUAUUCCUGUAAAGGUGAAGUUCACAUAACUGCUUUUCUGGGACAGGUAACAGAAUGCUGGGGUGAUAAGUUAAGGACAGCAGCAUUUAUUCUUCUUUUCUUUUUUUUAAGAUUUUAUUUAUUUAUUCAUGACAGACACAGAGAGAGAGGCAGAGACACAGGCAGAGGGAGAAGGCUCCAUGCGGGGAGCCCGACGUGGGACUCGAUCCAGGGCUCCAGGAUCACACCCUGGGCUGAAGCCAGUCGCUAAACGCUGAGCCACUGGGGCUGCCAGGACAGCAGCAUUUCUCAGAAGAGUGUCAGGAUCCUCAGAAAAUUACUAAAAGUUUCUGAGGGGUCACAGGGAUCACAACCUGUAACCCCAAGAAUAUGGUUGUCUGAGCAAGAUGAGCAACCUCUCUCGAUUCCAGACCUUUCUGCACUUUCCUGACCUUCUAGCCUUAAAAGACACAGAAACAUCAGAGGCUGACUUUGGGCUUUGAUCUUGAGCUGGAGGAAUCUAAGAACAUCAGGAGAUACAGCGUGGGGGAUCGAUGGCAGCUGUGUGAACCAGGUUCCAACUCUAAUAAGUUGACGGAUCUGGCAUGUGCAGGACGCACAUGACCAUUGUCACAAAUGCUGCAGUGUCAGGAUGAAAGCAAAGAACUGGGAAAGCAUAAGUGCUUUACCCUACAAUGGUGGCUGGACGAUCGACAGCACAUACAUUCAAGGUGAUGGUACGUAGCCAUUAAAAUAACCUUCAUAGGGACGCCUGGGGGGCUCAGUGGUUGAGCAUCUGCCUCCGGCUCAGGUCAUGAUCCCAGGAUCCCAGGAUGGAGUCCCGCAUCGGGCUCCCUGCAUGGAGCCUGCUUCUCCCUCUGCCUGUGUCUCUGUGUGUGUGUGUGUCUCUCAUGGAUAAAUAAAUAAAAUCUUUAAAAAACAACCUUUGUAAAGACACUUAAUGAUGUUUUUUAAAAAACAUAAUGAAAGGGGAGGAUAUAAAAUGACCUGUACAGUUUGACACCAACUAACAACAACAAAACUCCUAAUAUCAGAAAAACCACCAAAGUAUUAAUAAAAUUUGGGUGGGCGGGGGGGACACUUGGGUGGCUCAGCAGUUAAAGUUCCUGCCUUCAGCCCAGGGAGUGAUCCCAGAGUCCCGGGAUCGAGUCCUAAUAUCAGGCCCCCUGCGUGGAGCCUGCUUCUCCCUCUACCUUUGUCUCUGCCUCUCUCUCUCUCUCUCUCUCUCUCUCUAUCUCUCUCUCUCUGUCUUUCAUUAAUAAAUAAAUAAAAUCUUUAAAAAAAUAAAAUAAAAUUUGGGUGUGGGGAUUGAGAUUUUGAGUGGCAUUUCUUUACCCUCCCAUUUAUUAUUAUUUUCCUAAUUUACUUUAAAUAAGCAUUUGUUAACACAAUGAAUUAAAAAUAAUAAUAAUGUGCUUUGGAUGAAGUGUACAUACUUCCAUGGAUUCUACAGGUAGUAAAUGUGGUCUUCUGAGAGGAAUUAUCCUUGGGUUCCAAAUUAGAAGUUAUAACAAUUUGUAUUCUCUUCUCAGGAGACCUUCUAAACAAAGGCCAAUGUUAGUGUGAGUGUAUGUGUGCAUGUUGUGUAAUGAGGAGGUUUCUCUUUAAGGAUACACACAUUUCUGGGGGGGCAUUUCUAUGCACUGGUUUGAAAAGCGUCCAUAAUUCUUUCAGAGUAUUUUUGAAAUUGUUCAAAUGUCUAAGACAAAUUAUUGCAGCUAUUAUGGUCCACAUUGAUUAAUAGCAAGCCAAAGAUAAAUUCAUUUCAAAAUUAACUUUUAUCUUGACAGUUUUUAUUAUUUUUUAAAGACAUAUAUGGCUUUCCACACAACACAUUGGUAAAGUCACCACCAUACCCCUGAGGUAGAAACUAUUAUCAUUCCACAGAAGGAUGAAGGAGAGGCUUAGGCAAGACAAGUCAUUCACUCAGGGUCAUGAUGGAGCUAAGAAAAAAAAAAAAAAAAAAAAAAAAAA
rnacentral:lncRNA from 1 species